GCAUAGGAAAUGGUGCAAUCUGGGCUGUCUUUCAGCCUUUUCAACCUCAUUUCCUAAAUUAAAGAAAGAAAUGUAAGGAAUCUUAGGAAUAUGAAACUUCUCCGGAAUAAUCUUUAUUGAGCUGUGCUUGGAGACAUCCUGAAGGGCUGUCAAGGCAGCCAAGAAGAAAAGAAAAUGAGAAAUAUCUUUAACAGUCUCAGCCAAACUCUGAAAAAGAUAUCUAGAGCAGGGGCUAUUUUUUUCUUCCCAGAACGGUUUGCCUUUCCCCCAGUUUGAGGAUUGUUUUUAGAUUAUUUUGGGGGCUAAGAGGAGAAAGGAGGAGGGAACCUAGUGUUUAGGAAGUAGCAUGAUGCGGUUAGUCGUACCCUGUUCGCUUUGGAAUCUGCACAGCUGUUUUAUACAUGCUGACUUCCUCUCCUUUUCAGAUGCCACUGACUGACUCUGCUCUGUACGCUCUCUGUACUGAAGAAAGGAGAAUUGAACUGAAUCUUCACUUCCACAGAAAAGUACAUCCUACAGGGUUUAAUAAAUAUGAACCUUAUAUCAUAAAAUAUUUCAAGGAAUUUGAAUAUUUCAAAGCUCCAUCCAUCCAAAGCCUGAAUAAUUCAUGUAAAUAUUUGAAGGAUUUGUAAAGCAACAAAAUGUCCGUUGGGCACUUGAACAUGGAUAAGGAUAAACAGGGGUCUGAUAAGCCAUCUUGGAAAGACUAUGCCUUUGAUGAUAUACGGAGGCUCUAUCAUCUUAUGGCUACCACCAUGUUGACCGUUCCAGAUUGUGUUCAGUAUACUGUUCUUUGUUCUGGUCCAUAAACAGAGAUCUUGUGCUUGGUGGAAAGCUCAGCUCAAGAAGUGUUGAGAUGCAGAUUAAAUUAAUUACACCAGAAUUAUAUUUGAAAAUUGAAAAGAAGCAUUUUUCUAAAAGGCAAAUUCCAAAUAUAUGCCUUUUCAAAGGAAGUGUCACUUGGAAAGAAACUGAAUCACACCAUGAAAUCUGUGGCAUUUCUUUUGGUUUCCACUCUCUUCCAUACUAGUGGUAGGCUCAUGUGAUAUGUAGAAAUGUGCUUAAUCAAAUUUAGCUUGACUUCUCAAGAAAAUGUAUAUGCAGUAUUUCUGAGAUAAGAAGAGGCACAUUCUUUUUUUAGCACACAUACUUCCUAUGCUGCUGCUUUUGCCUUAUUCCCUUAUUUGAAAAUUUGGCUUUGCUUAUAAAAUCUACAAAUUUCUCUUUGUUUAGAACAGGGCUAGAAUAGCCUGGGAUCCUGUGGAACUGAAUGGUAUUUUAGAGUGCUGAUUCUCAUUUUCUCUUCAAUAAAGAUCGCAACACGUUACUUGUUUGUAUCUUCUAGCACACACAACGGGGAUUACCCACCUGGGAAAGGGAUUCUGGUGCAAGCCUUCUGUUUGCUGAGCUAUGUGUUGUUGAGCAAGUCACUUAAUCUCUGAGGUAAAACGAGGGACUGUUGCCUAAAACUCCAUGAUUCUGUAGUUUAAGUAUAAUCAACUCGAAAGUUUGAUGAUUUCUUUGAAAAUUAAAAAAAAAUGCUAGUGACCAUAAAUGCAUACCGCUGAGCCCUGAGUUUAUUUUUGAAAUAAUGUAAGACAGGGAGAGAGGUUUGGGGGGUCCCUUCCUUUAUAUAAAUUUUAUAAUGGGAUAUGUUUGUCUAAGGUAGCACAUGCCAAGAGUUCCGGGUCUAUAGAUGCUACCAGAAUUAGAGACGUAGAGAUAAGGAUAAUGAAUUUUU